rnacentral:rRNA from 1 species
AUUGAACGCUGGCGGCAGGCUUAACACAUGCAAGUCGAGCGGAGAUGAGGUGCUUGCACCUUAUCUUAGCGGCGGACGGGUGAGUAAUGCUUAGGAAUCUGCCUAUUAGUGGGGGACAACAUUCCGAAAGGAAUGCUAAUACCGCAUACGCCCUACGGGGGAAAGCAGGGGAUCUUCGGACCUUGCGCUAAUAGACGAGCCUAAGUCGGAUUAGCUAGUUGGUGGGGUAAAGGCCUACCAAGGCGCCGAUCUGUAGCGGGUCUGAGAGGAUGAUCCGCCACACUGGGACUGAGACACAGCCCAGACUCCUACGGGAGGAAGCAGGGGGGAAUAUUGGACAAUGGGCGGAAGCCUGUUCCAGCCAUGCCGCGUGUGUGAAGAAGGCCUUUUGGUUGUAAAGCACUUUAAGCGAGGAGGAGGCUACCUGGAUUAAUACUCUAGGAUAGUGGACGUUACUCGCAGAAUAAGCACCGGCUAACUCUGCGCCAGCAGCCGCCGUAAAAC